ensembl:lncRNA
GUUAAGGUUUGGGAUAGGUGUAACCGGUGUGAAAUGGAGGGAGGUGGAGCAGAGAGAGGGUACGAGGGUUUGGGAUAGGUGUAACAUGUGAAAUGGAGGGAGGUGGAGCAGAGAGAGGGUACCAGGGUUAAGGUUUGGGAUAGGUGUAACCGGUGUGAAAUGGAGGGAGGUGGAGCAGAGAGAGGGUACGAGGGUUUGGGAUAGGUGUAACAUGUGAAAUGGAGGGAGGUGGAGCAGAGAGAGGGUACCAGGGUUAAGGUUUGGGAUAGCUGUAACUGGUGUGGAAUGGAGGGAGGUGGAGCAGAGAGAGGGUACCAGGGUUAAGGAUAGGUGUAACCUGUGUGAAAUGGAGGGACGUGGUGCAGAGAGAGGGUACCAGGGUUAAGGAUAGGUGUAACCUGUGUGAAAUGGAGGGAGGUGGAUUAGAGAGAGGGUACCAGGGUUAAGGUUUGGGAUAGAUGUAACCGGUGUGGAAUUGAGGGAGGUGGAGCAGAGAGAGGGUACCAGGGUUAAGGUUUGGGAUAGGUGUAACCGGUGUGAAAUGGAGGGAGGUGGAGCAGAGAGAGGGUACCAGGGUUAAGGACAGGUGUAACCGGUGUGGAAUGGAGGGAGGUGGAGCAGAGAGAGGGUACCAGGGUUAAGGUUUGGGAUAGGUGUAAACGGUGUGGAAUUGAGGGAGGUGGAGCAGAGAGAGGGUACCAGGGUUAAGGUUUGGGAUAGGUGUAACCGGUGUGAAAUGGAGGGAGGUGAAGCAGAGAGAGGGUACCAGGGUUAAGGAUAGCUGUAACCGGUGUGGAAUGGAGGGAGGUGGAGCAGAGAGAAGGGGGAGUCAGAGAGAGGGUACCAGGGUUAAGGUUUGGGAUAGCUGAGCAGAGAGAAGGGGGAGUCAGAGAGAGGGUACCAGGGUUAAGGUUUGGGAUAGGUGUAACCGGUGUGGAAUGGAGGGAGGUGGAGCAGAGAGAGGGUACCAGGGUUAAGGAUAGCUGUAACCUGUGUGGAAUGGAGGGAGGUGGAGCAGAGAGAAGGGGGAGUCAGAGAGAGGGUACCAGGGUUAAGGUUUGGGAUAGGUGUAACCUGUGUGGAAUGGAGGGAGGUGGAGCAGAGAGAGGGUACCAGGGUUAAGGUUUAGGAUAGGUGUAACCGGUGUGGAAUGGAGGGAGGUGGAGCAGAGAGAGGGUACCAGGGUUAAGGUUUGGGAUAGGUGUAACCGGUGUGGAAUUGAGGGAG